GAUGAACGCUGGCGGCGUGCCUAAUACAUGCAAGUCGAGCGAACGGACGAGAAUCUUGCGUUUCUCAUGUUAGCGGCAGACGGGUGAAUAACGCGUGGAUCACCUACCUAUCAUACUGAUAUCACUUCGGAAAUCCGGCGAUUAUCCCGUAUAAUAUUUUGAUCCGCAGGGUGCAAUGGUAAAAGACGGUCUUGCUGUCUGUACUCGAGGGUUCCGCGCUGCAUUAGCUAGUUGGUAAGGUAACGGCCUACCAAGGCAACGAUGCAUAGCCGACCUGAGUGGCGGAUCGGCCACACUGGAAGUUGGACGCGGUCCAGACGCCUACGGGACGCCGCAGUAGGGUAUCGGACGCAACAGGCGGGAGCCUGACGGAGCAACGCCGCGUGAGUGGUGAAGGCGCUCGGAUCGUAAAAAUCUGUUACGAGGGAAGAACAUCUGUGGAAGGUACCGUGGACAGCGUGACGGUAACUAAUAAGAAAGCACCGGCUAACUACGUG
rnacentral:rRNA from 1 species